AGUGAACGCUGGCGGUAGGCCUAACACAUGCAAGUCGAACGGCAGCACAGUAAGAGCUUGCUCUUACGGGUGGCGCGUGGCGGACGAGUGAGGAAUACAUCGGAAUCUACUUUUUCGUGGGGGAUAACGUAGGGAAACUUACGCUCAUACCGCAUACGACCUACGGGUUAAAGCAGGGGGUCUUCGGACCUUGCUCGGUUGAAUGAGCCGAUGUCGGAUUAGCUAGUUGGCGGGGUAAAGGCCCACCAAGGCGACGAUCCGUAGCUGGUCUGAGAGGGUGAGCGGCCACACUGGAACGGAGACACGGUCCAGACUCCUACGGGAGGCAGCAGUGGGGAAUAUUGGACAAUGGGCGCAAGCCUGAUCCAGCCAUACCGCGUGGGUGAAGAAGGCCUUCGGGUUGGAAAGCCCUUUUGUUGGGAAAGAAAAGCAGCAGGUUAAGACCCCGCUGUUCUGACGGUACCCAAAGAAUAAGCACCGGCUAACUUCGUG
rnacentral:rRNA from 1 species